CGCCUGGCUGUAGGAGGGGUGCUGGUGCCCUGGGGGAGGUUCACACUUUUCAGAGGGGUGUGAAGGCCUUAGCAAUCCCUUAGCUAACACAACUACCUCAUUAGCUACAUAGAGAGAGGGCCAGCUCCACAGCCUAAGCACUGGGAGGGCCAACUCCAUGGAGACUGUUAGAGGAACUCAACCGCAGUCCACUUCUCCCAGUACCUGCCACUGAAAAACAUCCCCACAGCAUGAUGCUGCCACCACCAUGCUUCGCCCUAGGGAUGCUGUCGGGUUUCCUCCAGAUGUGACACUUGGCAUUCAGGCCAAAGAGCUAGCUAGCAACAGCAGCAGACAAACAAACCAGUUGCUAUGGCAACUGUGCAGCAGAACAGAGCAGCAGCUGUAGUAGCAGAGCCCACAGGCACCAUGUCCCCACUCCCACUCAGCACUGAAUCCAUUCCCUACCCUCCAGAGGCCAAAAAUGACACGAGGAAAGCUUUUAAACAGAAACUACUAAAGUGGAGGACACGCCCCAGGAGGAGAGCGACCCCCUCAGUGCAGAGCAGGCUCAGGCCCUCCUCACCACCAUGGCUGCCAUGAGGGAUGAGUUCACCAGACUGGAGGGGGAGGUGGUCCUGCUCAGGGAGCAAACAUCAAC
rnacentral:lncRNA from 1 species